AAUGAAGAUUUUAUGUUAGCACAUAUCUCUAUGUCUGUAGCUGCCAUUCGGGAACAGACCAGCGAUGAGACCGCAGGAGUUCCAACUCACUUCCCCUUCCAGACAAAGAGCCACUGUGAGUCUGGCUUCCGCAGGCCAGGCAGGCGUCCUCAUCGGCUACUGUCCGCAGCGGGAUGCCCUGGACGAGCUGCUGACCGCGUGGGACCAUCUCCACUACUACUGCAGCCUCCGAGGAAUCCCGGGGGAGCGCAUCCCUGAGGUAGGCAGUGCCCCAGGCUUCCAGAAAAAGAAGAAAUGAAGGAAUGAAUGAG
rnacentral:lncRNA from 1 species